rnacentral:rRNA from 1 species
AUUCAGGCAAUGUCUAGUAUAAGCACUAUACGGUGAAACUGCGAAUGGCUCAUUAAAUCAGUUAUCGUUUAUUUGAUAGUACCUUACUACAUGGAUAACCGUGGUAAUUCUAGAGCUAAUACAUGCUAAAAACCUCGACUUCGGAAGGGGUGUAUUUAUUAGAUAAAAAACCAAUGCCCUUCGGGGCUCCUUGGUGAAUCAUAAUAACUUAACGAAUCGCAUGGCCUUGCGCCGGCGAUGGUUCAUUCAAAUUUCUGCCCUAUCAACUUUCGAUGGUAGGAUAGUGGCCUACCAUGGUAUCAACGGGUAACGGGGAAUUAGGGUUCGACUCCGGAGAGGGAGCCUGAGAAACGGCUACCACAUCCAAGGAAGGCAGCAGGCGCGCAAAUUACCCAAUCCCGACACGGGGAGGUAGUGACAAUAAAUACUGAUACAGGGCUCUUUUGGGUCUUGUAAUUGGAAUGAGUACAAUUUAAAUCCCUUAACGAGGAACAAUUGGAGGGCAAGUCUGGUGCCAGCAGCCGCGGUAAUUCCAGCUCCAAUAGCGUAUAUUAAAGUUGUUGCAGUUAAAAAGCUCGUAGUUGAACCUUGGGCCUGGCUGGCCGGUCCGCCUCACCGCGUGUACUGGUCCGGCCGGGCCUUUCCUUCUGGGGAACCUCAUGCCCUUCACUGGGCGUGUUGGGGAACCAGGACUUUUACUUUGAAAAAAUUAGAGUGUUCAAAGCAGGCCUUUGCUCGAAUACAUUAGCAUGGAAUAAUAGAAUAGGACGUGUGGUUCUAUUUUGUUGGUUUCUAGGACCGCCGUAAUGAUUAAUAGGGAUAGUCGGGGGCAUCAGUAUUCAAUCGUCAGAGGUGAAAUUCUUGGAUUGAUUGAAGACUAACUACUGCGAAAGCAUUUGCCAAGGAUGUUUUCAUUAAUCAGUGAACGAAAGUUAGGGGAUCGAAGACGAUCAGAUACCGUCGUAGUCUUAACCAUAAACUAUGCCGACUAGGGAUCGGACGGUGUUAGUAUUUUGACCCGUUCGGCACCUUACGAGAAAUCAAAGUUUUUGGGUUCUGGGGGGGAGUAUGGUCGCAAGGCUGAAACUUAAAGAAAUUGACGGAAGGGCACCACCAGGCGUGGAACCUGCGGCUUAAUUUGACUCAACACGGGGAAACUCACCAGGUCCAGAACCAAUAAGGAUUGACAAAUGGAAAGCCUUCUUGAUUUUUUGGGGGGGGGGGGUCAGGCCGCUCUUAAAUGGGGGGAAGGAAUUUUGUCCGUUAAUAU